rnacentral:lncRNA from 1 species
CGAUGUCACAUAAUCAUAGGAAUAGUCUCAUAGAUUGCUUUCGUAUGCAUCACAUAACUACCUUAUGAUUUAGUGCAAAUCAAGCUCACAUAUAAACUUGAAGUACAUACCUGUUUAACCUUUCGCAUUGAAUAUAUUUAUAAGCAAUUCUUAUUACGAAGUCUUACCCGGACAUAAUCUCCACACGAAGUUAUCGGGUCUUAUCCGGACAAAAUCCCCACACGUAGUCAUCGGGUCUUUAGAGCUCGGAUAUAGUACAAGCACGAAGCUUAAGGACAUUAAUCAGUGAUAAUAUUCUCGCAUAAAGCCUGCGGGGUUUUAACCCGGAUAUAGUACUGACACAAAUGCCUUUCGGGACUUAUCACAUUUAUGCACUUUCACAUCCAUUACGUUGGCCACUCGGCCCUGUCACAUAUAUACACUAUCACAUUCAUCGCAUCGGCCAUUAGGCCUUAUCACAUAUAUACACUUUCACAUUCAUCACAUCGGCCAUUAGGCCUUAUCACACAUAUACACUUUCACAUUCAUCACGUCGGCUAUUAGGCCUUAUCACACAUAUACACUUUCACAUUCAUCACGUCGGCUAUUAGGCCUUAUCACACAUAUACACUUUCACAUUCAUCACAUCGGCUAUUAGGCCUUAUUACACAUAUACAUACACUUUCACAUUCAUCACCUCGGCUAUUAGGCCUUAUCACAUAUAUACAUACACUUUCACAUUCAUCACAUCGGCUAUUAGGCCUUAUCACAUAUACAUACACUUUCACAUUCAUCACAUCGGCUAUUAGGCCUUAUCACACAUAUACACUCUCUUAGCUGAAUCUACAUCUAUCAUUUUCCAAUAUCACAAUUUAGAAUUCACGUAUGGGUUUAAUCGAUAGCUUAUGAGCAACUAGAACAAGUUUAUCAAGGUUUACAACACAAUCUCAAAUUCAGCACAAGCUGUUUUUCCUGAGCAAUAGUCACUAAAUCAUUUAUAACUGGAGCUACAAAACUCCAAAUCACUUUCCGUUAAUUUUUCCUGAAUAUAGACUCGUAUAUCUUCCAUCCAUAAAAUUUCCAAAAUUUUAGGUUUGGCCAAUCAAUACCAGAUUUUUCUUAAAGUUUCCCCUGUUCCACUGUUUGACUAAUCUGACCACUCUUCACUACGAAUCAAAUUUCUCAUUUUACAGAAUUCAAAAUGUGUUGUAUUUGAUUUUAUUUGAAACUAGACUCAUUAAGGAGUUUAAGCAUAUAAAUUUUAUCUUAUAACCAUUUUUGUAUAAUUUAUAAUGAUUUUCUAAAAACAGAACAGGGGAUUUCGGAGUCAUUCUGACACCGUCUCACACAACUUUAAAUAUCUCAUUAUCAGAAAUUCCUUUGCUUACACGGUUUCUUUUAUAAGAAACUAGACUCAUUAAGAUUUAAUUUCAUGUCUCAUUCAGCCUCUAAUUCAAGUCCAUAAAUUUAUGGUGAUUUUCUAAAGUCACGUUACUGCUGCUGUCCGAAGCAGACUAUUUCAAAUUACCUUUAAAUUCCCAAGCUCAAACACUUAAGAACUUACCAUUUGAGCUUAGAACAUAUCAUGGCCACAUCAUAUCUUAUUAAAUCAGCUCAUCACGUCUUAUUAUAAUUGAAUUUACUCAACGUUUAAACACUUAAAACUUACCUCGGAAGUUGCCGAACGAUUACGACAGCUCUUCGAUCACUUUUUUCCUUUCCCUUAUCCAACUUUGAUCCUCUAGGCUCUUGAGCUAAAUCAAACAAAUUUACUUCAUGAUACAUUCGGCCUUGGCAACAAUUUCAUUAGAAAUCCUUAUUAGCCACUUCAUCAAUCAAUUAUAUCAUCUACUUAAUAUUUCAUAACUUAUCAUGCUAGCUGAAUAUUAUUUAUUCAAGUUCAUCAUCUUCAUAUUCGGCAUUAGCAUCAAAUAUAAUAGCCCAUUUCUUCCCACUUUGAAUUUAUGCAUCCAUUUAAUCAUAGUUUGUUUAAGCACUCAUACAACAAGAUUCAUCCAAUUUAACAAGAAACAAAAACUUUAUUCCUCCAUAGCUACAAUGGCCGAAAGAUCUAGACAUCUCAAUACCGAAAUUUUUAACAUGGGUUGCCUAAAGAAUUUGGUAGGGAGUUCAAAUUUAUCUAGCAUUUCAAGUAAUUUAACACAUCCAUAUAGCUAACAUGCUAGUAGUAUCAAGGCAUCAACUAAAAUUUUGAAGCCUCUUAGCCGAAUCCUAACUCUCCAACAACUUUAAUUUCAUCCAUGAGAUAAAUAGAAGUAAGUUAACCCUCCAAAGGAUGUGUAAACCUCCAAAAGCAGCAUUGAACAUACCUUAAUCUCAAGAACCACCUUGGCCGAACUUCCCCUCUUCUUCUUCCUUCCAUUCGGCCAUGUUGAACAACAAAGGAAGAAUUUUGUUUUUCCUCCCCUUUCUCUAGUCAUGGCAAUGGGGAGUAAGGGGAGACAACUUUGGUUUCUCCUCCCACUCCCCUCAUAUUUUAUUAUUCUUCCCACACAUAUUAGCAUAAAAUGUCUUUAAUAUGUUUUUUUUAAUACUUAUUUCCUAUUAUAAAACUAUGUAGUCAUUAUAAUAUUAAUACAAAAUGCAUAUGCUUUGUAUCCCAUACCCUCAUGGCCGGCCACUUCCUCUAAAGUGGGGAAUUUGACAUGCAAACCCAUCAUUUCACAACAUGCAUUAUUAGGCCACUUUACAUUUGCCUAGCACAUUUCCAAAUUUUCUCACAUAAGUCCUAUUUGAUAAAAUUCACUUACCAUUAACAAAAUUCAAACAUGAAAUUUUCACACAUGCAUAUGUACAUAUAAUGAGCAUCAACUAUGACGGUUAAUUAUCUUUAUGACUCGGUUUAGUGGUCCCGAAACCACUUUCCGACUAGGGUCACUUUAGGGGUGUCACAACUCUCCCCCCCUUAAGAAAUUUUCGUCCCCGAAAAUUUCUACCAAUGCAUAGUUUAGGAUAACGUCCUCUUAUUGAAUUAUAUCCACAAAGACAUUAGCUCAUUGAUAGCAAUUGUAAUUCAUUAUUGAUUUCGCAUCGGUCUAUAAAAUCAUUUUCUUAUCUUAAAACAAAUACAUAAACAUUUCUACAAGUAUGCACAAAUAUCUCAUUUUCUUGAUUUCAUAAGCAAUAAUCACUUAACUUAAUUCACAAAUGCAUUUCAAACACAUAUUAACAUGUAUAAUUCACAUUAUCAACCCACAUAUUUGUAACCCACAUUUUCAUUCAUGAAUAAGCUGUAACCUAACCGAAAGUACACAUAUACUCAAACAUCCCAAUAAAUAUCCUUUAUAACUCUAUCACAUCUCAAUAUUCAACUUAACUCAUUUCCAAAAGAAAAGUCAACUUCCACGUACCUGAACAUUUAGUUCAUUUAGCACAUUCAAUCAUAGUUAACGUUACCCGUAUACAGUCGAAUAGGCAUAAAGCCUAAUAUAAUACACUGGCAUGAGAUUUAUUCUAGCACAUAACUCGUAUAUCAAAAAUUAUCAACAUUCAUCAAAAAUUCUUUCAAACUUUCGAAUGUCGAAACUUAAUCAAAAUAAUUUCUUAAACAAGAUUAACAAAAUAGUGUCCAUUCAGCAAUAGUACAUAUAGCUCUUACAAUGCCAUAUCCUAGAUAUGGUCUUACAUAUUCUCACAUAUCGAGCCGAUGCCAUGUCCCAGACAUGGUCUUACACACUAUCUCAAAUCAAUGCCUUCGUCCCAAACGAGGUCUUACAUGAAUUCCACUUCACACACUUAGUGCCCACUGACCGAUCUCGCACUCAUAGUGCUCGGUUAAAGGAAUUCGCACACACACAGUGCCUCUAAUCAUUCACACACAUAGUGCUCUUAUUCAUUCGUUAUUACACAUUGAAAUGACUUAACCAAGUCUAUAAACAUCAUGUAUGAACACUUUUAAACAUAUCAUCUCAUUUAAAUUUGAAUUCGUAUAGUAAUGAAUACUUAAACUUUGCUCAAAUUACCGGCACGAAGCCUACUAGGCGCGAAGGCCCGAAUACACGUCACCAGCAUGAUUGCUCUUCGGGACCUAGCCCGGACAUAACACCAGCACGAAUGCUCUUCGGGGUUUAGCACGGAUAUAUCACUAGCACGAAUGCUCUUCGGAACUUAGCCCGGAUACAUCACUAGCAUGAAUGCUCUUCGGGACUUAGCCCGGAUACAUCACUAGCAUGAAUGCUCUUCGGGACUUAGCCCGAAUACAUCACUAGCAUGAAUGCUCUUCGGGACUUAGCCCGGAUUUAGUAACUCGCACCAAUGCCUUCGGGUCUUAGUCCGGAUAUGGUCACUUAGCACAAAGCCUUCGGGACUUAGCCCGGACAUCAUUCAAAUAACCAUGCACAUUUAACAACAAAUCAUGGCACAUUCGUAUUUCAUUUUCGUUAGCAAAACUCAAACACAAGACACUUAUCAUUCUUGCAAUUUCGGCUCAAUAGCCACACACAAAGAGCAUGAUUUUGAUUUUCUUAAAACAUGAUCUAAUCAAAUCAUAAUUUAAGCUCUAUUACUCAAGAACUUACCCCUUUCCGCUGUCCGAAAUCGACUCGGUAAGGUCGCACCCGUAAUAUAAAUAAUUGAUAGAAAAUAUGUAUAUAUAUAGUGGGUUCGCACACAUAGUGCUUAAUAAUCAACCACGCACACUUAGUGCCAUGUACUUUAAACUCGCACACUUAGUGCCAUGCAUUUCAAGCCCGCACACUUAGUGCCAAUCUCACAACCGUGAACACUUAUUGCCCGCACACUUAGUGCCAAUCUCACAACCGUGAACACUUAGUGCCAAUCUCACAACCGUGAACACUUAUUGCCCGCACACUUAGUGCCAAUCUCACAACCGUGAACACUUAUUUCCCGCACACUUAGUGCUGAAAACCAACCACUCUAUACGCUUCACUGCCUUUUUACAUUCGACAAUUUCGUCUCUACAUACAUAUACACAUAUAGCAAUACACAUUAGUAUAUCAUUUACAUUACAUGAAUACAAACACAACAUGCUUAUCGACCAUUCAACUUCCAGUUCCAUAGCCACAUACAAAAAUCACAUUUAUAGUCAUAACACUCCUUCAAAAUUGCAUCACUUAUACCCUUAUAAUUCAAUCCAAAUCGAAAUUCAAAUACGAGUACAUGAUACGUACCUGAUCAACUUAAUAAUUUAGGCAUAUCUAAAUGAAGUUAUAUCGCAAAUUCUCAUAGUCAGAAGCUUGCUACAGCUCGAUCGGGAUCAAGAUUCAUUACAAUACAGCAAACACAUUUUAAUAGCCAAAAAAUCAUCACACUAUCAUUUUAUCACUUUAUGGCAUGUAUAAAUAGACUCACGCGUGCUACGUUAGUCCUAGAAUCGACUAAACCGUAGCUCUGAUACCAAUCAAAUGUAACACCCCGAACCCGAGACCGUCACCGGAGUCGAACACGAGGUGUUAGCAGACUUUAACCACUUAUAAAAAAAAAAUUCCCAGACACUGCCAAUCUGCGUACUAGUCGCUUUAAAAAUCAUAUCUUGAGUUUCACAACUUGAAAAUCAGUUUCGUAAUUUUUCCCUCAAACUAGACUCAUAUGUCCAUCUACAUAUUUUUUUCUAGAAUUUUUGGUCAGGCUAAUUAGUACAGUUUAUUAGUCAAAGUCUCCCAUGUUACAGGGAUCGACUACACUGACCUUUGCGCAUUACGACUUGGAUAUCUCCCUACACAGGGCUUCAAUACUGAUUCCGUUUGUUUAUAUAGAAACUAGACUCAGAGAGGAAUCCAUACAUAUAUGGAAUGACUCCUAAUUAUCUCUGGUUAAUUUAUAAUGAAUUUCCAAAGUCGUAACAGGGAAUCCAGAAACCGUUCUGGCGCUUUCUCACGAGAACCAGAAUAUCUCUUAACAUACUGUCCAUAUGAUCAUUUUGUUACUUUCCUAUGAAAAUAGAUUCAUCAGGGUUCGUUUACAUAAUUUAUUCGCUAUUUAAUUCCAAUCCUACUAUUUUUAGUGAUUUUCCAAAUCUACAUCACUGCUGCUGCCAGCAUCUGCCUUUAAGGUAGACUUUACCUAUUUCAUAGUUUCCAUGAUUCAACUAGCCCUUUUAGCAUAAAUAGCACAAAUCAUGAUAGCGAUUAACCAUUCCAUACCAAAUGAUUAUAACAUUAUGCUCAAACAUAUAUAAGCCAUUUUCGCAUGGCUAUAUACAUUAACCAAAAUAUUCUUCCGCCACUAGUCUAUUUUAUACAUGCCAUAAGACAAUCCGAAACAUAGCAGUACCAAACAGAGGAUAGUGAUAGUGUGACUAGUUGCUGACGAUCCCCGAGCCUGUAGCUUCGCAAUGAGAUCUAUAAAACAGAGGAAACAGAGUAAACGGAGUAAGCAUUACAAUGCUUAGUAAGUUUUAAGCAGUGUCAACAGAUAACAAUCAAAUUAUAACAUAGUUGUUCGUAUUUUUAUUUCACUCUUCCUUCGGGCAUACCAUCCCUUUACCGAUCUGCACAUCUCAUCAUAUACAAUAGGCAAAUAAACUUUCACAUAAAAGUGAGCUCAUGUGACAUAGAUAUAUCGUAUGAUUUCACAUCACCUCUCACACUGAUCCGAUGUCACAUAAUCAUAGGAAUAGUCUCAUAGAUUGCUUUCGUAUGCAUCACAUAACUACCUUAUGAUUUAGUGCAAAUCAAGCUCACAUAUAAACUUGAAGUACAUACCUGUUUAACCUUUCGCAUUGAAUAUAUUUAUAAGCAAUUCUUAUUACGAAGUCUUACCCGGACAUAAUCUCCACACGAAGUUAUCGGGUCUUAUCCGGACAAAAUCCCCACACGUAGUCAUCGGGUCUUUAGAGCUCGGAUAUAGUACAAGCACGAAGCUUAAGGACAUUAAUCAGUGAUAAUAUUCUCGCAUAAAGCCUGC